CCUACGGGAGGCAGCAGUGGGGAAUAUUGGGCAAUGGGCGCAAGCCUGACCCAGCAACGCCGCGUGAAGGAAGAAGGCUUUCGGGUUGUAAACUUCUUUUCUCAGGGACGAAGAAAGUGACGGUACCUGAGGAAUAAGCCACGGCUAACUACGUGCCAGCAGCCGCGGUAAUACGUAGGUGGCAAGCGUUAUCCGGAUUUAUUGGGUGUAAAGGGCGUGUAGGCGGGAGCGCAAGUCAGAUGUGAAAACUCAGGGCUCAACCCUGAGCCUGCAUUUGAAACUGUGUUUCUUGAGUGCUGGGGAGGCAGUCGGAAUUCGGUGUGUAGCGGUGAAAUGCGUAGAUAUACGGAGGAACACCAGUGGCGAAGGCGGAUUGCUGGACAGUAACUGACGCUGAGGCGCGAAGGCGUGGGGAGCAAACAGGAUUAGAUACCCUGGUAGUC
rnacentral:rRNA from 1 species